rnacentral:rRNA from 1 species
UCCCAGACUCCUACGGGAGGCAGCAGUGGGGGAUAUUGCACAAUGGGGGAAACCCUGAUGCAGCGACGCCGCGUGAGUGAAGAAGUAUUUCGGUAUGUAAAGCUCUAUCAGCAGGGAAGAAGAAGGACGGUACCUGAGUAAGAAGCCCCGGCUAACUACGUGCCAGCAGCCGCGGUAAUACGUAGGGGGCAAGCGUUAUCCGGAUUUACUGGGUGUAAAGGGAGCGUAGACGGCGAAGAAAGUCUGAAGUGAAAGCCCGCGGCUCAACCGCGGAAUGGCUUUGGAAACUUUUUUGCUGGAGUACCGGAGAGGUAAGCGGAAUUCCUAGUGUAGCGGUGAAAUGCGUAGAUAUUAGGAGGAACACCAGUGGCGAAGGCGGCCUACUGGACAGUGACUGACGCUGAGGCUCGAAAGCGUGGGGAGCAAACAGGAUUAGAUACCCCAGUACG